GACAGAGGAUGCAAGCGUUAUCCGGAAUGAUUGGAGCGUAAAGCGUCUGUAGGUGGCUUUUUAAGUCCGCCGUCAAAAUCCCAGGGCUCAACCCUGGACAGGCGGUGGAAACUACCAAGCUGGAGUACGGUAGGGGCAGAGGGAAUUUCCGGUGGAGCGGUGAAAGUACGUAGAGAUCGGAAAGAACACCAACGGCGAAAAGCACUCUGCUGGGCCGACACUGACACUGAGAGACGAAAGCUAGGGGAGCGAAUGGGAUUAGAUACCCCGUGUAAGU
rnacentral:rRNA from 1 species